GUGGAGCCGACCUUGAAAUACCACCCUUUAAUGUUUGAUGUUCUAACGUGGAUCCGUAAUCCGGGUUGCGGACAGUGUCUGGUGGGUAGUUUGACUGGGGCGGUCUCCUCCUAAAGAGUAACGGAGGAGCACGAAGGUUGGCUAAUCCUGGUCGGACAUCAGGAGGUUAGUGCAAUGGCAUAAGCCAGCUUGACUGCGAGCGUGACGGCGCGAGCAGGUGCGAAAGCAGGUCAUAGUGAUCCGGUGGUUCUGAAUGGAAGGGCCAUCGCUCAACGGAUAAAAGGUACUCCGGGGAUAACAGGCUGAUACCGCCCAAGAGUUCAUAUCGACGGCGGUGUUUGGCACCUCGAUGUCGGCUCAUCACAUCCUGGGGCUGAAGUAGGUCCCAAGGGUAUGGCUGUUCGCCAUUUAAAGUGGUACGCGAGCUGGGUUUAGAACGUCGUGAGACAGUUCGGUCCCUAUCUGCCGUGGGCGCUGGAGAACUGAGGGGGGCUGCUCCUAGUACGAGAGGACCGGAGUGGACGCAUCACUGGUGUUCGGGUUGUCAUGCCAAUGGCACUGCCCGGUAGCUAAAUGCGGAAGAGAUAAGUGCUGAAAGCAUCUAAGCACGAAACUUGCCCCGA
rnacentral:rRNA from 2 species